rnacentral:rRNA from 1 species
GGUUGCGAGCGUUGUCCGGAUUUACUGGGCGUAAAGCGCGCGCAGGCGGUCCUGAAAGUCGAAUGUGAAAGCUCCUGGCUCAACUGGGAGAGGCCGUUCGAAACUUCGGGACUUGAAGGCGGGAGAGGCAGAUGGAAUUUCCGGUGUAGCGGUAAAAUGCGUAGAUACCGGAAGGAACACCAGUGGCGAAAGCGAUCUGCUGGCCCGCCCUUGACGCUCAGGCGCGAAAGCUAGGGGAGCGACCGGGAUUAGAUACCCCGUUAGUCCUAGCUGUAAACAAUGGGCACUAGGUGUUGUCGGUAUCGACCCCGGCAGUGCCGUAGCUAACGCAUUAAGUGCCCCGCCUGGGGAGUACGGCCGCAAGGCUA